GACGAACGCUGGCGGCAUGCCUAACACAUGCAAGUCGAACGAGACCUUCGGGUCUAGUGGCGCACGGGUGCGUAACGCGUGGGAACCUGCCCUUAGGUUCGGAAUAACUCCCCGAAAGGGGUGCUAAUACCGGAUAAUGUCUUCGGACCAAAGAUUUAUCGCCUUUGGAUGGGCCCGCGUUGGAUUAGCUAGUUGGUAGGGUAAAAGCCUACCAAGGCGACGAUCCAUAGCUGGUCUGAGAGGAUGAUCAGCCACACUGGGACUGAGACACGGCCCAGACUCCUACGGGAGGCAGCAGUGGGGAAUAUUGGACAAUGGGCGAAAGCCUGAUCCAGCAAUGCCGCGUGAGUGAUGAAGGCCUUAGGGUUGUAAAGCUCUUUUGCCCGGGAUGAUAAUGACAGUACCGGGAGAAUAAGCUCCGGCUAACUCCGUG
rnacentral:rRNA from 1 species